rnacentral:RNase_P_RNA from 1 species
AGGAUCGGAUGGCCGCGGUGUGGGGCAACCUGCAUCGAGGAAAGUCCGGACUCCAUCAAGGCAUGAUGCUGGGUAACGCCCAGGCGGGGUAACCCGACGGACAGCGCCACAGAGAACAGACCGCCUAGUUUACUAGGUAAGGGUGAAACGGUGGAGUAAGAGCCCACCGCGGCGAUGGCAACAUCGCUGGCAAGGCAAGCCCCAUCAGGAGCAAUGCCAAAUAGGGGCCGCGUGUGGGUAACCACAGGAUCGUCUUGAUCCGAGCAGGUCCGGGUUGGCAGCUAGAGGGUGUUUGGUAACAAGCGCCUUAGAUGAAUGGCCAUCAAACCGCUUCGGCGGGGAACAAAAUCCGGCUUAUAGAU